UACAUUACCAAAUGAUGUUUCUACAGGAAGCCCACACUUCCGUCCUCUGAAACAAGUGUAGGGGACCAAGCUAUGCCAAUUUGUGCAGCAAAGGAAGAGCAACUUGUUUACAAGCUCCCAGAGGAACAGGAGCGUCUCACUAACUGCCUGCGAUUCUGCUAAUGACAGCCAAGCUGCCCCCGGAUCCUGUGCUUCUUUUAAUAAGCUCACAGGAAAUGAUGCUCAUGCCGUGACGGAGGGGACCCGGUGAGGGCUCAGGACGUCCUUACCUUGUCUCCUAGGUAGGAAAGAGGUGCGACCCAGGACGCACUGUGGACUGUAGAGGGCAGCUCCUGGAGGUCUGCAACCACGCUGCUGCUGCCCGGGUUGAAGGAGACAGGGAUGUCUGUUCCGUCUGCCGUCUCCAGGCGCCAACCCAUCAUAUCCACAAACUAGAACACAAGAGCAAAGGAUAGAAACAUGUGCCUUCAGCUUCUCUGGUGAUGGCUGAAUUAUGCGCAAUAGAAGAACCAUGGGGUGGCCAUCUUGUUCUGGAGGCUUCCUGUAUAUGCCCCCUCCUGAGCUUGCACAGAACUCUCACCCAGCACUGCCUCCCACUGCCCCAAGACGACUAGGAGUUCUCAGACAACCGUGAUCAUAUGUAUGUGGGAUUGCUCUUUGUAUCCCAGCAUACAUCCUGGGUUCUUGACAUUUAGCAGGUGUUCAGUAAAUGUCUGAGUAAUAUAUAAAUAAGUGUGGGAAUAAUAACUAGGACUAUGGGCACAUUUUAAUGGCGAGUUCCUUAGAGAACAAAUGUGAGAUGGAACGCAGUGGCCUGCUCUCAUUACUUUCCUUUAAAUAAAUCCUCAUAAUAAA